rnacentral:misc_RNA from 1 species
GAAAUGCGAUAAAUAAUAUGAAUUGCAGAAUUCAGCGAAUCAUCGAGUUUUUGAACGCACAUUGCGCCCUCUGGUAUUCCGGAGGGCACGUCCGACCGAGCGUCGCGUCACCGCUCAGGCCCAGCCUGGUGAUGGGGCAUGCGGGAAACCGCAGCCCCCAAAUGCAGUGGCGGUUCCCGACGGGUUCCCUUGCGCAGUAGAAGCAUCUCAGCUGUCGCCUCGGAGCCCGCGCGGGCGGCCUGCCGUAAAACACACCCACGUCUUCCAAUGGUUGACCUCGGGUCGGACGAGAUUACCCGCUGAACUUAA